rnacentral:rRNA from 1 species
CCUAUGUGGUGCAUCCGUGGGGAAUAUUGGACAAUGGGGGGAACCCUGAUCCAGCCAUGCCGCGUGUGUGAAGAAGGCCCUCGGGUUGUAAAGCACUUUCAGUGAGGAAGAACGCCUGGUGGUUAAUACCCAUCAGGAAAGACAUCACUCACAGAAGAAGCACCGGCUAACUCCGUGCCAGCAGCCGCGGUAAUACGGAGGGUGCGAGCGUUAAUCGGAAUUACUGGGCGUAAAGCGCGCGUAGGUGGCUUGAUAAGCCGGUUGUGAAAGCCCCGGGCUCAACCUGGGAACGGCAUCCGGAACUGUCAAGCUAGAGUGCAGGAGAGGAAGGUAGAAUUCCCGGUGUAGUGGUGAAAUGCGUAGAGAUCGGGAGGAAUACCAGUGGCGAAGGCGGCCUUCUGGACUGACACUGACACUGAGGUGCGAAAGCGUGGGUAGCAAACAGGAUUAGAUACCCGAGUAGUC